rnacentral:rRNA from 1 species
ACGUAGGGUGCAAGCGUUGUCCGGAAUUAUUGGGCGUAAAGAGCUCGUAGGCGGUUUGUUGCGUCGGCUGUGAAAUCCCGAGGCUCAACCUCGGGUCUGCAGUCGAUACGAGCAAACUAGAGUGUUGCAGGGGAGACUGGAAUUCCUGGUGUAGCGGUGAAAUGCGCAGAUAUCAGGAGGAACACCGGUGGCGAAGGCGGCUCUCUGGAACGUUCCUGACACUGAGGCACGAAAGCGUGGGGAGCAAACAGGA